CUGCUUCUUUCUUCUUUUUUUUCUGCUUCUUUCUUUCUUUUUUUCUGCUGCUUCUUUUUGGGCUGGCCUACUACUGCUGGGCCUGUUGGGUCGGGUCGCGGGUUGAAUCCGGGUCGGGUCGACCCGAUAUAUUAUUUUUUAUUUUUCUUUCCCCUUUUUUCUUUCCUUUUUUUUCUUCUUUCUUCUCUGUUUCUUCUUUCUUUCUUCUUUUCUUUUUUCUUUCUUCUCCGUUCAGCCCCGACGGUGCACCCCCCAGCCUGGCACGGCGAUCAGCGGUGGCGCACGCCGGUGGUGAGGGACGGCGGUGGACCCGGAGGCGUGGGGCUUUUUGCUGCUGUUUUUUGCUUGAUUUUUGCUUGAUUUUGUUGUUUUUUUUUUUUGCUUUCCUUGGCUGCCGGAAAUCCCAUCUUCUUCAUUUCAUCUCCCUCUUUUAAAUCCUUUCAAUUUUGUCUUCAGGUUGCAGGAGAGCCAUCAUGGCCUAGGGAGGCUGCUGGAGUAGCGGCUGGGGAGGGGUACGCUUGGCUGCUAUUGCGGUGAUUUGACAAGUCCAGGAGGACCAAAUUGCAUAGGAUGCAAAGCUUCUGGGGCAAAGUGCAAUUUUAGCAAAAAUAUGGGCCAAAUGUAAUUUCUUGAAAGUUUAGGGGUUAAAGUGGCAUUUUGAGAAAGUUUAAAGGUUGAAAUGUAAUUUUAGAAAAGUUUGGGGUCAAAAUGUAAAUUUCGAAAAGUACAAGGGUCAAAAUGUAAAUUUCAAAAAGUACAGGGGUCAAAAUGCAAUUUUUUUUAAUUUUUUUUAACACGAAAU